UACGUAGGUGGCAAGCGUUGUCCGGAUUUAUUGGGCCUAAAGCGUCCGUAGCUGGCUUGUUAGAUGCCUGGGUAAAUCGAUGCGCUCAACGCAUCGAACUCCGGGUAGACCGGCAAGCUUGGGACCGGGAGAGGCGUGAGCUACUCGAGGGGUAGGGGUAAAAUCCUGUAAUCCUUCGGGGAGGACCAGUGGCGAAGGCGUCACGCUAGAACGGCUCCGACAGUGAGGGACGAAGCCCUGGGGCGCAAACCGG
rnacentral:rRNA from 1 species